UUUACGCCUUUAAAAGGGGCGCACACUACCCACCCCCGUGAGAGCGUGUGGUGGUUGAGGGCUCGUGGGCGGUUUGGGGGUUUUAUCCUCCCCCGUUCAGGAGAUGUAAUAGUGCCUUUUUUUUCCUUCUUUUUGCCUUUAAAGCAUGGGCUCCCUAUCUUGCUGGCACCUGCUAUCGGUAGCUGAGUCGCUGCUCUGCACCUAAGGACCCAGCUGGGCCCUCUCUCGCUAUGGAGAAAUAUAAGGUGCUGGAGCAGCUCCAGCCAGGGGCACUGGGUACUAUGCUGGUGGCUGAAUUGGAAAUAGAAAAGGGGGAAAAGAAGAAAUACAUAAUAAAGCAGGUUGAAUGCAUUGAAGAAAAGCAAGCAAAUGAGGCCUUGAAGGAGGCAAUGGAUUUGCUGAAACUUCAUCAUCCAAAUGUUUGUGCUUACAAGGAAUUGUUUGUGACUUGGGAUAAUGAGAUAUCGUCCCUGUUCCUUUGUCUGGUAAUGCAGCACUUGGGCCAAGGAGAUCUUUCAUCUGUAAUCAAGGAAAAGAGGCAGAAGUCGGAAAAAAUAACAGACAUGGUGAUUCUGAACUUCCUGGGACAGAUGGUGGAUGCUUUGUUUUAUAUACACCAACAAAAUAUUUUCCACAGAAAUCUCAAGCCAUCAAACAUACUUGUGACUGGUGAAACAUCCUUCAUGCUUGGUGACUUCAGUACAGAAACGCUUAUGACAGAUGAGAUGAAAUGGAAAAUAAGAGUGGAAGAAAAUAGCAAGUCUUGGAUGGCUCCAGAAGCAUUUGUGUUUUCUUUUACUGACAAAUCUGACAUCUGGUCUCUAGGCUGUGUUCUUCUUGACAUGACAACCUGCUUUGUUCUGAAUGCACAAGAGAUAUCUUCACUACUGCAGGAUAUUAGAGAAGAUACCAGCCAUCUUGAGGGAAUUCUGACACUAAUGCGAACUGAAGAUAAUGACUCUUUGCCUUUAUUUCCAAUUUUAUUUAUGAUGCUGCAGAUUCAGCCCAGUGUGAGACCAGCAGCAAAGGAUCUGAUUGAUGUUCCGUUUAUUAAGGAAUGCUUGACUGUUGCUCGUGCCUCUUCAGUAAAUCUGAAAAAGUCCUUGCCUCCCAAAAUAAUAGAUAUAUUCCUUGAGGGAGGAAUCGAAAGUGUUCUAGAAUCCAUGCAGGCUUUCUGGGAUAUAGAAGAAGUACAAGCUAAAGCCUUUCAGCUUCUUGCCAGCUUUGUAAGAGAGAAGAGUGCCUUGCCCUAUCUGCUAAGGUUCACAGAGUUGAUCAGUUUUGCCAUGAAAACUCACGUAGAUUCUCUCAAGCUGCAAGUAGAUGGUUACAGUUUACUGCUUGAAAUUCUUAGUCAAGCUCUAGAACAGGAUGUGGUGAUGGCCCUGGGUGAGAAUGUGGCCAGCUCUCUGCUAGAGUCAGUGAGAAAACACGCUGAAAAUGAAGAGCUACUUUUACUGGCUUGCACGUUACUGAUGAUGAUGUCAGCCAGCGAAGUUGCUGCAGAAAAUCUAAGGAAAGUUGGAGUAAUUCCAGACCUUCUGUCAGUUUUAACAAAUUUUCUUCAUAAUGAGAAGAUCUGCCUCUCUGGCUGCGGAGUCCUCUGGAGCUUAGCUGUGAGUGAGAAUAAUGUGGACCAAGCAUUGCUGAGAUGUGCUGUCCCUGUUACCUCUGCCAUCCUUCAAGAGCAUCUCCAGAAUGGAACAGUUACGGAGUCUGCUUGCUUGGCUCUGUGGGCAUUGUCACUCCAAGGUUGCUUAACUGAAGAUGACUACGAGCCCACAACAGCACUUCUGCUGGAUGCGCUGAGGAUGAAUCCAGAAAGACCAGCACUGGUGAAGAAUGCCUGUCUGGCACUAGCAAGCCUUCUAAGGCUGUCUGAAAUAUCAGCUUUGAGAUUUAUAACGGAUUCAAAAGGCAGUGGAAUAAACCUGAUCAAUGAUGCCUACCACCUUCACCUCGAUGAUCUGGAAGUGGUAGAAAGUAUCUGCUUGCUGAUUAAUGAGAUGGUUCAGUACGGUGAGAUGGUGUUUGUCAAGUCCCUUCCUCUCCCCUACCUCCAAAAGACAGUAAAGUGUAACAGCAACUGCUCAGGGACAUGUUCAUUGCUCUCAGGAAAGACCUGCUAUAAAUCAGAAAAAGGAGGAUUAAUUGAACUGGGAGUUCAUCCCCUUGUUCUUGAAUAAAUGCCUCUCUGUUAUAGUGUUUUAACUCCACCUUAUCUUGCCUUCUGUGAAGAUAUGUCCCCUCCCUGCUCUCCUUUAGCUCCUGCUGAAAUCGUUGGCAGUUGUAGCCAUGAAUUAUCCUGUUAAUAUUACAGAUGAGGUUGUGAUGGAUAUGCUGUCCCAGAAAAUGGAAGAACUGCUGUCUGAAAUAAAAAGCCAUGUUCCGUCUAGCAUGGAGAUAAUGACCCUUGUGGAUGCAAUGCUUUUGAAACUUGCAGAAGUAAAAGAAAAACUUCCAUA